rnacentral:rRNA from 1 species
UACGUAGAGGGCAAGCGUUAUCCGGAUUCACUGGGUGUAAAGGGCGUAGACGGAAGUGAAAGCCAGAUGUGAAAACCCGCGGCUCAACUGCGGGCCUGCAUUUGGAACUUUAUUUCUGGAGUACCGGGUGGGCAGGCGGAAUUCCUGGUGUAGCGGUGAAAUGCGUAGAUAUCAGGAGGAACACCGGUGGCGAAGGCGGCCUGCUGGACGGAUACUGACGUUGAGGCUCGAAAGCGUGGGGAGCAAACAG